UACGGAGGGGGCUAGCGUUGUCCGGAAUUAUUGGGCGUAAAGAGCUCGUAGGUGGCCUGUCGCGUCGGCUGUGAAAACUCGGGGCUCAACUCCGAGCUUGCAGUCGAUACGGGCAGGCUAGAGUUCGGCAGGGGAGACUGGAAUUCCUGGUGUAGCGGUGAAAUGCGCAGAUAUCAGGAGGAACACCGGUGGCGAAGGCGGGUCUCUGGGCCGAUACUGACACUGAGGAGCGAAAGCGUGGGGAGCGAACAGG
rnacentral:rRNA from 1 species